CCUACGGGUGGCAGCAGUGAGGAAUAUUGGUCAAUGGCCGGAAGGCUGAACCAGCCAAGCCGCGUGAAGGACGAAGGCUCUAGGCAUUGUAAACUUCUUUUGUAAAGGAACAAAAUUAGGCUCGAGUGCCUGACCGCGGGUACUUGAAGAAUAAGCAUCGGCUAACUCCGUGCCAGCAGCCGCGGUAAUACGGAGGAUGCGAGCGUUAUCCGGAUUUGUUGGGUUUAAAGGGAGCGUAGAUGGGGUGUUAAGUCAGGUGUGAAAGGCCGGGGCUCAACCCUAGGAUAGCGUUUGAAACGGGCUGUCUUGAGAGCAGGAGAGGUAGGCGGAAUGCGCAGUGUAGCGGUGAAAUGCUUAGAUAUUACGAAGAACACCGAUUGCGAAGGCAGCUUACUGGCGUGGAACUGACGUUGAGGCACGAAAGCGUGGGUAUCAAACAGGAUUAGAUACCCGUGUAGUC
rnacentral:rRNA from 1 species